AGGUGCAGGGGAGACGAGUGACCCUGUAUCCACAGUCAAUGACUUACUACAGAACUGGUCAAUGCAAUAGUUUCAAAUGCUGAGUGCCCAUUUGAUUUGUCCUUUUCUUGUCUUCUAGAAUUCAUGUAUAAAUAUUUGGGAGGACUGCUAAUGUCAAGCCGAUGAGUCUCUUCAAACGCUCUUCUUUGGGGGAAUAAAUAGCUAUAGUUUUCUCUUGCCUUGAUCUUGCUCAUCUUCUCUGUUGGCAUUUUGUGGGAUAAAUGGGCAACAUUUCUCUUCCAUUCCCCUUUUGCAGACAUACAAACAGAUUUGGGGUUAGAUGAUUUUUUUUUUUUUGCCCUCGAGCUUACUUUUAAAGGAGUCUCUUACUUAAGGAUGGACUUUUAAUUUUUUACAACUUCCUCUGUUGAUUAAUUCUGCUCCAGUACAUUUUCUUUAGAAAAUAAUUAGUCUGAAAGUUCAAAGAGUUUUCCAGCUUAGCACAAUGCUGGGCAUAAAACAGGCCAGUUACAGGGUAACAGAAGUACCCACUCUGGGGAAGAGUCUCCUGAAACCUCGUGCAAUAAGAUGCCUUAUUCCUUAAGAAGAGGAGACCCCACAGUAGUUUGGGGAAGACUGUCAAGGAACCGAAGUCCGCACCAUUCCUGGAGACCCUGAACUCCCUGAAUGGCUGGAAAUUACCUACGGCAGCUGAGUCACCCACCUCCCCGCGGAAGCCUGCUGGCUGUUUCCAAGGCCUUCCUCAUCAUUCAAACCACGAUGCAGCCACAGGAAUACCAAAAGCGACACUUGAUGGCUGUGGAAGAUUUUCAUCCUCACAGGUCGUGAAUGCCUUCUGUUUAUCACCUGCACUGAGGAUUUACGACUGUCUCAGUGUCGUAUUUCUAGCUGCUGUACUCUGAAGGAAAGCAUCCUGCCCUGAGGUAAGGACACAUUCUUUAUUCAUAGUGAAAAUGAAAGCGAGUAAAGGGCAAGAUUUUUUU
rnacentral:lncRNA from 1 species